UGUUCUUCGGCUUAGUUGACUAAAGCGCCGGACUAGCGAUACGGUGUCGUGGGUUUGAAUCCUAUCAAAACAG
rnacentral:tRNA from 1 species